rnacentral:rRNA from 1 species
GAUGAACGCUGGCGGCGUGCCUAAUACAUGCAAGUCGAGCGAACGGACGAGAAGCUUGCUUCUCUGAUGUUAGCGGCGGACGGGUGAGUAGCACGUGGAUAACCUACCUAUAAGACUGGGAUAACUUCGGGAAACCGGAGCUAAUACCGGAUAAUAUUUUGAACCGCAUGGUUCAAAAGUGAAAGACGGUCUUGCUGUCACUUAUAGAUGGAUCCGCGCUGCAUUAGCUAGUUGGUAAGGUAACGGCUUACCAAGGGAACGAUGCAUAGCCGACCUGAGAGGGGGAUCGGCCACACGGGAACUGAGACACGGUCCACACUCCUACGGGAGGCAGCAGUAGGGAAUCUUCCGCAAUGGGCGAAAGCCUGACGGAGCAACGCCGCGUGAGUGAUGAAGGUCUUCGGAUCGUAAAACUCUGUUAUUAGGGAAGAACAUAUGUGUAAGUAACUGUGCACAUCUUGACGGUACCUAAUCAGAAAGCCACGGCUAACUACGUG